UUUGCUCCCACGUUAUCCAAACACAUUAAUAUGUGGUUCAGAUAACAUAUUCCAUAUGUUUAAUUAGCCAUUACAUGAAAUGUAGGAAGGUGUGGCUUUUUGAAUGCAUUCUCCAUUUUCUCCCAGUUUCCUGACUUUUAACCCACAUUCUCUGGUGGCUUUUUCGUUUGUUUGUUUUGUUUUGUUUUAAAUCCUUUUCACAAUAAAGAGUCUGUCCAGUCUACACUUAUCUAGCUGCUUUAAGUUUUAGACUUUCUUUGGAUAAUAAAAAUUUAGUUUGGUCUAUAGACAGAUUAAAUUAAUUCUGCCCUACCUUACACAAUGUGUAUAAUGUAAUCAUUGCUCAAUAAAUGCAUACUCAUAAUAAACUAUUACUUUAAUAAACUUGUGCUAAGGAGUUCCCUUAUAUAAAGUUUCUGGAUUUUUAAAUUGCACUUAAAAGUCCAUAAUUUCACAAUUUCUUCCUAAAUAGUUUCCUUGGUAAGAUUUUAAUUUCUGGAAUGAUGUCUAAUAUGUCUGCACUGUGUCCUGAGGUUAAAAAAAAACAAACAGCACUUCAUUUGGAGAUUAUUCAGAAAUUCUUUACUUGUACUAAUUGAUUACCAGUAACAAGGGCCCCUGAAACGCCCCCACAGAGCACACGGCCAGUGCGGGCUGAUUCACUGUGGCGUCACUGGGAGAGAUUAUGAAGCCCAGGGCUGCGAUGGUGCCAGCUCAUGCCUUUUCAGUGAGAAAGCUUUCAGGUUCCACAGAGUGUUAAUCUGGCCACAAAAUGGGAGACGGCUAAAUCGGCCUGGAAUGUCUGGCUGCCGGUUGGCAGACGCAGCCCUUUCUUCACCUUGGAUCUGCUGGGCUAAGGAUGCUUUCAUACUGUGAUGUACCAAAGAUCCUCUAUCAAAUGCCGACCCCGUCUCAACAACAGACCGAAGCUGGCCAGAUGAGGGCAUUUGCACCAGCCCUAGAAGGGGUAUUUUUAGAAGCUACAUAAGAGGCCCAGGACACAGCUAUCAGCAGACACGAAGUGGGUGCUUGUGAGUAGAGACAGGUACUAAAAAUCAAACUACAUCUGGUUGCUGAAAAAAAAUUAACUCUAAGGAGAUUUGAAUCUGAAGAGAUUAUCAAAAUAAAGACCAGGAGCUUUUUCUGCCA
rnacentral:lncRNA from 1 species